GUUUUGGAGUAAUUACCCACCAGACACCGGCUGACAAGUUAGACUGAAUACAGGAUGAUAUUGAAAGUUUGGAGAUGGACGAGACAACCACAGAAGGGGCCUCCAAAGGAGGAAGUAACCCUCAAGACUGUAGAGCUGACCUGCGUGAAAGGUUCUUGUGGGCAGUAUCAUCCCUAAUUGGGAGAGAUACUACUAUAACUAUGCAUGAAAACAUAGAUGUAAGUGGUGUGUUUCGUGGCAUAGACAAGGAUGUUUUAAGCUGUCAAAUUCAGAAUCUUGUGACACCUGCUAUAGUUUACCCUUGGGCUAUGAUUAGGGUACCUGAUUGUUUCAGCUUUAGGUUCAAAUUAUAAUGGUUGUAUAAAGCCUUUAUCAUCAGUAUUAUAAAAUGAUCAGAUUUAAUUAAAAAAAUUAUUAGCA